rnacentral:rRNA from 1 species
ACGGGUGAGAAACACGUACGCAACUUUCCUCAAACCGGGGCACAACCUUGAGAAAUCAGGGCUAAUUCCCCAUAACAUUGCGAAAGGGCAUCUGAUUGCAAUUAAAGAUUCGUCGGUUUGAGAUGGGCGUGCGUUCGAUUAGCUAGUUGGUAGGGUAACGGCUUACCAAGGCGACGAUCCGUAGCCGGCCUGAGAGGGCGGUCGGCCACACUGACACUGACAUACGGGUCAG